ensembl:lncRNA
AGAUCAGCCAGUUACAGAGAUGAAGAGAGGAAAAAAAGAUGCUGACUGGUGCAAGCGACUUUCUAUGAGCCUAUGAGGAGGCAGAGAGUAAGUGCAGCGAGGAAAGAAACCUAAAAGUGAAGUUCUUUGCGGCAAAGGCCGUGUAGAUCAGGACACACCUCAGCGGCUCAUAUGAAAUAGUGAGACUUAGGGAAUUAACUUCAGCAGAUAUGAGCAUAUUAAGAAACUGACUACUGGGAUUGCUUAAAUUUGGGUUGGGAGGUGAACUAAAGAGGAGAAAUUGAGGACCAAGGAGUGAGCCGUGAGGGAGGAAGAGUAAAAAAUGGUGGCACCUUCAGUGUGAGCUGCGAGUUGGGUGUGAUUUGUACAGCCUGCAGCGUGUGUGUGAACUGGUCGGCAGUUUGGUUGCAGGUUUCUGCUGAGCAGAACGUGUGGUGUCUUGAUUGACUUAAUUGCUGCUACUGAUACUGUUAUGGACUCCACUGCACUGCUGUCUGUGGUAGGCGGGGCUCUCUUCCUGUCAAUCAUCCUUUUAGCCAGUCUUUGUACAUACUGCUGGGGGCAUAAACAACCAACAUCCAUCCAUCAGAGGUCCAGUGACUCAGAAUACAACCCAACUUUUGUGGUUCGGCAUCCCGUGUCAACAUAUGAGCACCAUACGGAUCAUACCAGAAUUGGACCUUACCAACUCAAUUCACUCAGUUCACCAUCUAUUACUGUCACAAAGGUGCCCUCCUGUCCUCCCUCAGAAACUGGAAGUCAAGCCAGUUAUGUGAAUCAAAACGAGAGUGACGAUGAGCCGUAUGUUCAGCCUCCAAGUGAAUACAUAGUUGUUCUUCCAGAUUCCCCAAACACGCUAUCUCAGAGACCCAGCAGAGCUUCAUCCCAGAGCUCAGGAGAACCUUACAUAAAUGUACACAAUGUGUCUGAAGCUAUAUUUGACUGUGAGAAGUAUGUGGAUGAAUCAGACUCAGACAUUCCCGAUUAUGAAAAUUGCAAAAAUUCUCAAGACCACAGGGAACAAACCCAUAGUCUGUCCCGUGGAAGUCAAAGCAGUGAUGAACGGGACAGCUCUGAUUAUGUCAACACAGACCCUAAUUUACAAUAACCAAGGAUUUGCCUUUUACCAAAUAAUGACAGUUAACAAGGUCAGACCUAAGAACCAUCCUGACUGCCAGAGGAGUUUUCAGAUUUACCUGUGCUUUGAAUUUUGAAGUGCAUCACCAAGAAAGCUUUGAACCAUCGUCACCUCCGAAAACCCUCAAUCCUUAUGACAGAUUUGCUGACGAAACCUGAGAAUGUUUUUUUUUUAUUUUUUAUGUUUACAGUGUACUGCAUUCAGGCUUUUACUUUCAAAUAUAUGAACUUUUUUUUUUUUGACUCUGCCAUGUAAUAUAUAGCUUUUUGUCAUUAAAAUUAGGGAUGCACCGAUACUGGUCUCCUGUACUCGUUAAAAUGCCCCAAUACCAAACGCCGAUACCACACAGCAUGUGAUAAGCGCCAUAUUCAGACAAAGAAACACAGACAACAGAACAACAGACAGCAGAAAGGAGUUAAGGGUGUCUACUACGAAGUAUAUGUAUGCAAUUAAUAUAACGUUAAACAUUCAGUAUUAACGCCUGUAUAGCUGAUGUGCGCGAGCUGAUAAACAAAGCACGCUGAGUGGAUUGAACGCGCGGUGGCGCAGAUGCGCGAGCUUGUCGAGUGAAUAUACCUUUCUCACAGACAUCACUGGAAAGUUUGUAGUUCGGUCGGAUAUGUAAAAAACAAGUAAGUAAAAC